AUAGCUAGUGAUGAUUCACUUUCCACAGUUCACGCGACUAUCUGUGAGCGAUCGAACAACAUGCACUACCAUCUGAAGCUCU
rnacentral:snoRNA from 1 species